UGCUCCUAGUACGAGAGGACCGGAGUGGACGCAUCACUGGUGUUCGGGUUGUCAUGCCAAUGGCACUGCCCGGUAGCUAAAUGCGGAAGAGAUAAGUGCUGAAAGCAUCUAAGCACGAAACUUGCCCCGAGAUGAGUUCUCCCUGACUCCUUGAGAGUCCUGAAGGAACGUUGAAGACGACGACGUUGAUAGGCCGGGUGUGUAAGCGCAGCGAUGCGUUGAGCUAACCGGUACUAAUGAACCGUGAGGCUUAACCUUACAACGCCGAAGCUGUU
rnacentral:rRNA from 1 species